rnacentral:tRNA from 6 species
AUGCAAUGAACUUAAAAUUCAUUUAUAAAGAAUAAUCUUUUUUUAGAAAUU